AAACCGUUCGGGGGUAAACGGACAGAGCCCGUGAAUCCGGGCGACGGAAUUCAGAAUUGACGGUGUUCACGCGUCGCCAGUUUGAUAUUUCCGCCGCCGUAACAAUGUACGGACGUCGCGACCCGUUCGGUGCCGGUCCGAGGAGAUGUGUAAAAGUUCGCCGGCGUGUCGUUCGUCCGUUUCGGCGGUCGAGCGUGCACGUUUGGUGAGUACGCGUUCUUUAAAUUCUGGCCGGCUCGCCGGACGGUACGUGUAACGGUGACCGUGGCGACCUUUCGAGCGUCGUCAUCGGUACCGGUCUGCGACGAAUCUUCGGGCCUCUUUCCGA
rnacentral:rRNA from 1 species